UGGGUUGUGGCUCAGUGGUAGAGUGCUUGCCUACCAUGCUUGAGGGACUGAGUUUGAUCCUCAGCACCACAU
rnacentral:tRNA from 1 species